UAAAUAUUAAAUCAAAGAUAUUAAUAUAUUAAAAGAAAAUAAUUAAUUAACAAUAAUGUAUUCAAAGUAACAUCGACUCUCAUUCCAAUACUUUAAUUCCCGAUACAGUACAAACAAUAUGAAUCAAAUACAGAGUUACUUCAACAUUCAAUUACGUAAACUUUCCCUUGAAAGUUCCAAAAGAACACUGGUAAUAGUUUUAGAUUUAGUGUUCAUGUUUUCCUCAAGUCCAGGAUUCCUCUGAAUUAGUUGCUCUCACAUUCCUCUUAACUCUUCUUCCAAGAACUGAAAUAAAAAAAGAAAAGAACCAUUACUAAACUGAUUUAGGAAAACUACCAAGUAGCCAAAAAAAAAAGUGAUUGUACCUCAUAUAAUAUCUUGAAGAAGUACAGGAGCCAUGCGACUGCUACUAUCUGCAAAAAAACAUAAAACCACAUUCAAUAGUACAAGCUUAAGAGAACUAAAUCAAUUCACCAUCGUUAGCUAUGGAAAAGAUUAUUCCACUAAUAGAGAUGGAGUUACAUAUAACUGUAGGAAGUGUUUCACAGAUGAUGUACCCUUCUCAGGCAGCCGUUUAGGUGAACAACAUCUCUUGCAAUCUUUUUCUAAUUGCCAUAUUUUCAUUGUCCCGAGAAUGGUGGAUAAUGCUUUCUAUAAGCUAAAUCAAAGAGAAAUAACAUGAAAAGUAUUAGUUUCCAGUGUUAAAGUAUCAUAUGUAGAAAGAAACGAUAUCAACAUCACCUUGACAAAAUGGAUAUUUUAAUCAACUUGUGGCAAAUAAUAAUAAUUUUGCAGAAAGCUCAAGAUAUUUGAACCCGAAACUCCUAACAGUGUAGAAAGGAACUAACAAUCUCUAGUAUCAUUGUACAUGCUUACUAAUUCCUUCUCUACUCUUGAAUUCAACAGAAUGAUUGAUCAAUUUCAGUCCUAACAUCAAUGUUCCUUAUCCAACUUGUCAAUAAAGCUGAUAUUUACAAGAUACCCUACACCAUCCACAAUCUAAAUCAUCAAACACAUAAUCGUAAUGGUCAUUUACCUUCCUUUCACAAACAUCUACAAGCUUCUUUUCCGGUCAAGCAUCGCAAACAAGUAUCUACAAGAUUCUUUUCCGAUCUAAUUUGUCGUGCUGUUUGGAUUAGAGUCACCAUGAAACACAACCGCAAUAACUCUAACAUAAGACAAGUUACUAUAUAAUAUCCUUCUGUUGGAACCAGCAUCACAUGAUUCAGUAAUUUAAAAGGUUCAACACGUUAAAAAAGUUUUAACAUGUCAAAAAUACCAAGAUCGAGAUUAAACUAGUAAUCUAUAUCUUAUCAGACAUUUCAAAUCAAUUUAAUAUUCAGUUAUUUUCUCUUUUAUAGAGAAACAAAUAAAUUAGAUUACAGAGUGCCAUUUCAUUGGCUCAAUAUAGAGUAGUUUGUUAUAACAAAUAUCAAAUAAACUAUCUAGUUGAAGCAAAAAUAGUCCUAUAAUUUAAUUUAUUAUCUUUUGCAUCGUUCGAUGCAUUAGUAAAUGGAUUCAAGGUUUUAUAGCAGUAAGAAUAAUUGAACAGCCAAAUAAUGUUAAUAAUCUCAUCUCUACUAGUAUAAAAUCAUUUCAACAUGAAAAGAUGAAUCAAAGAAAGUGCAAGCUUUAACCUCAUGUUAAUAAAAUAAAGCCAGCCCAUUAAAUUUUUAUUUAAUCCUCUAAAGCAUUUGUUCAAACAGUUGAUAUGAACAGAAUACGAAGCAAAUAAGAGAAAAGGUAGCAACAAUUUUAAAGGCAGUUAACUAAAAAUUCAAUCCAGCGAACAACAGAUUAGAACGGAAAAACACUUACCAAAAUCUUAAUAUCUUCGACCAGAUAUUUGAGAAUUACAUAGAAUAGAUUAAAAAUGGCAGUCGAUUGUUUAUAAAAGGCGGCCUAAAUUUUGGUGACCUUCUGUCAUGUUUAGAGUUCUAGGGCAAUCUAACACCCCGGUAGUUUCCCCUUUCAAUUCUCCGCAUCACACUAUUUCACGGCGACCGCGAACAUAAAACGGGGGCAUCGUGAAUUGGGGUUGAAGAAAGGGGAGAGAUUGGUAGGGUUCUAGAGGAGACAACUUUCAUAGUAGUGUUUAAUUCCGGAUUAAACAAUACUCCAUAAAGUAAGAAAAUUUCCUUCAUUAGCAGUAAAUAUUGACUAAUAUUGUGGCAUUUUGUUGCUGCCAAACACACAUGCUAGUAUACGUGGUCGUCAAGUAAUAAAAUGAUUAGAAAUCGGAUAUCGAACCCACAAGAACUUGUGAUUAACUAUUAACUAAAUUAGACUUUCC
rnacentral:lncRNA from 1 species